rnacentral:rRNA from 1 species
CCUACGGGUGGCAGCAGUGAGGAAUAUUGGUCAAUGGACGAGAGUCUGAACCAGCCAAGUAGCGUGAAGGAUGACUGCCCUAUGGGUUGUAAACUUCUUUUAUAUGGGAAUAAAAUGUUCCACGUGUGGGAUUUUGUAUGUACCAUAUGAAUAAGGAUCGGCUAACUCCGUGCCAGCAGCCGCGGUAAUACGGAGGAUGCGAGCGUUAUUCGGAUUUAUUGGGAGUAAAGGGAGCGUAGGUGGGUUGGUAAGUCAGUUGUGAAAGCCUGUGGCUUAACCGUAGAACUGCAGUUGAAACUGGCAGUCUAGAGUAUAGUAGAGGUAGGUGGAAUUCGUGGUGUAGCGGUGAAAUGCUUAGAUAUCAAGAAGAAUACCGAUUGCGAAGGC